rnacentral:lncRNA from 1 species
CCGAGUUUUUUGUACUCAUCUGGGUUGGAAGGGACUAGGGUUAGGUAUUCUGCGGGGAUGAUUUGGUCGGUGUCGAUGUUGUCGCCGACGACGUAGCAAAGUCCGUGGAAUGUGGUGGAUGAAUUGGUGGUUUCCGGUGCGGCGGCGGCGGCGGAACGGAGAGGUGUGACGGUGGGGUUUUUUGGAGUGGGAGCAAAAUGGGAAAUUAAGGGGUAAUUGGAGGAGAUUGAUGGGAGUUUGAUGGAGGGGAGAGGGUUGAUAGAGGCGGCGCGUGGUUGACACGGAGAGGGUUUGAAAGCGGUGAUGGAAUUGGAAAGAGCUGCUGAAGCCGCCAUUGAUAGAUAGCUUAGGGUAAAAUGGAAAUUGAUAGUAAUUUUUUGUAAGAG